CGAGCGAUGACCGCGUGAGUGAAGAAGGCCUUCGGGUCGUAAAGCUCUGUUUGCGGGGGAAAAAAGGCAUCUGCAGGAAAUGGUAGAUGACAGAUGGUGCCCCGCCAGAAAGUCACGGCUAACUACGUGCC
rnacentral:rRNA from 1 species